UGGCGGACGGGUGAGUAACGCAUGGAAAACCUGCCGUAUACUGGGGGAUAACACUUAGAAAUAGGUGCUAAUACCGCAUAAGCGCACAGCUUCGCAUGAAGCGGUGUGAAAAACUCUGGUGGUAUACGAUGGUUCCGCGUCUGAUUAGCUAGUUGGUGGGGUAAUGGCCUACCAAGGCAACGAUCAGUAGCCGGCCUGAGAGGGUGAACGGCCACAUUGGGACUGAGACACGGCCCAAACUCCUACGGAAGGCAGCAG
rnacentral:rRNA from 1 species